rnacentral:ncRNA from 1 species
AUCUUCAGGGCAGGGUGCAAAUCCCUACCGGCGGUACAGCCCGCGAGCCGCAAGGCAUGAUCCGGUGUGAUUCCGGGGCCGACAGUAUAGUCUGGAUGGAAGAAGAUA